ACGUGGAAAUGUUACCAGAUGGGACAUUUAGCUGUGAGUGGCUUCAGAUGAGACGAGUCAUCCUCGAAAGGCCAGGGCAGAGAUGCAGCGAAUGCACAUCAAAACAUCAAAUGCUGUCCAGACCUUCUCUCAGGAUGAUUCCACAAUGCACCAGAUUCUGAGUGGAGGCAGGAAUCUCCGGGUGAACAAAAGAAAAACUCUGCACGACUAAAGUCCGUCCAUCCAUUACAGCUGAUCCCAUUGUUCCAAACCCAGAGAGCUACGAGUUGACCCUAGAGGUCAGAUAAUCAGAUGCUCUCCUCUGUGACCUGCUCUAACCUGCAGUUCAGGGGACAGUUUGGAAUAACACCAUGCCUCUCUUCAGCCCGAGAGACAAGCUCAUAUAAUACAGGGAUGCUGUUUUGUUGUGAGAUUGAUAAUUGAAGUUAACAACACUGGUAUGUCUGUCAUUGUAAAAAAACAUGUAUUGCGUAGGUAUGAAACACACAAAACUGACUCUGAGAAUAAGAGGAAUACAAAAACUCCAUCUGGCCAAGUCAGUAUCACUUUGCAGGAUGCAACUGUUUAUGAUUUAAGGGACAAUGGAAUGUUUAGAAUUUUAUUUAUUUUCUAUCUGACCACCUUCUGAAGCGAAAAACCUGCAGCAAAUCCAUAAAGUGGAUAUUUCGUCAAGCUGGAGUGUUAUUAUAGAUUUUUCUCCCUACUACUAGUAACAACUGAAUUAAAUGUAAAAGAUUCCUCAUUACGGUUUGAACAUAAAACAAAGAACUGUCAGCCCUGCUUCUGGCAGUGUCUUGGCAUUAACGCUCAUCUUUUAUAGCAUCAGAGAAAAAAAUGCAACACACAUGAUGGGCUGACAAAAGCAAAACACAGAAGAGACCCCAGAAAAUGGAGGCGAAAGACAGGUAUAAGUGAA